AUCUCAUCGUUCAGAUCCCGAAUCUUGAACUCCCCGAGACCAGCUGCAGACAGACAGGUGAGAGAGACAGACAGGUGAGACACACAGGUGAGAGACAGACAGACAGGUGAGAGACACACAGGUGAGAGACAGACAGACAGACGAGAGACAGACAGUUGAGAGACAGACAGACAGGUGAGAGACAGACAGGUGAGACAGACAGGUGAGAGACAGACAGGUUUGUCUUCAUAUCUGCCACACAGUUUAUUAUGCACACCUGCGUCACCAGUGUUUAUAAAUCAAUAAUC